rnacentral:misc_RNA from 1 species
GGAUAGCCACUGAGAGCAACGGGCC